rnacentral:rRNA from 2 species
UGCAAGUCGAGCGGACAGAUGGGAGCUUGCUCCCUGAUGUUAGCGGCGGACGGGUGAGUAACACGUGGGUAACCUGCCUGUAAGACUGGGAUAACUCCGGGAAACCGGGGCUAAUACCGGAUGGUUGUCUGAACCGCAUGGUUCAGACAUAAAAGGUGGCUUCGGCUACCACUUACAGAUGGACCCGCGGCGCAUUAGCUAGUUGGUGAGGUAACGGCUCACCAAGGCGACGAUGCGUAGCCGACCUGAGAGGGUGAUCGGCCACACUGGGACUGAGACACGGCCCAGACUCCUACGGGAGGCAGCAGUAGGGAAUCUUCCGCAAUGGACGAAAGUCUGACGGAGCAACGCCGCGUGAGUGAUGAAGGUUUUCGGAUCGUAAAGCUCUGUUGUUAGGGAAGAACAAGUGCCGUUCAAAUAGGGCGGCACCUUGACGGUACCUAACCAGAAAGCCACGGCUAACUACGUGCCAGCAGCCGCGGUAAUACGUAGGUGGCAAGCGUUGUCCGGAAUUAUUGGGCGUAAAGGGCUCGCAGGCGGUUUCUUAAGUCUGAUGUGAAAGCCCCCGGCUCAACCGGGGAGGGUCAUUGGAAACUGGGGAACUUGAGUGCAGAAGAGGAGAGUGGAAUUCCACGUGUAGCGGUGAAAUGCGUAGAGAUGUGGAGGAACACCAGUGGCGAAGGCGACUCUCUGGUCUGUAACUGACGCUGAGGAGCGAAAGCGUGGGGAGCGAACAGGAUUAGAUACCCUGGUAGUCCACGCCGUAAACGAUGAGUGCUAAGUGUUAGGGGGUUUCCGCCCCUUAGUGCUGCAGCUAACGCAUUAAGCACUCC